UCCCUGGUGGCUGAGAGGAUAAAGCGUCUGCCUGCAAAGCAGGAGAUCCGAGCUCGAUCCCUGGGUUGGGAA
rfam:Ovis aries breed Texel chromosome 16, whole genome shotgun sequence.